rnacentral:tRNA from 1 species
GCGGGCGUAGUUCAACGGUAGAACCUCAGCUUCCCAAGCUGAUGAUGGGGGUUCGAUUCCCCUCGCCCGCUCCA